CAGUCGCCGCGGUAAUACGAAGGGGGCUAGCGUUGCUCGGAAUGACUGGGCGUAAAGGGCGCGUAGGCGGAUGGCACAGUCAGAUGUGAAAUUCCCGGGCUUAACCUGGGGGCUGCAUUUGAUACGUGUUGUCUAGAGUGAGGAAGAGGGUUGUGGAAUUCCCAGUGUAGAGGUGAAAUUCGUAGAUAUUGGGAAGAACACCGGUGGCGAAGGCGGCAACCUGGUCCUUGACUGACGCUGAGGCGCGAAAGCGUGGGGAGCAAACAGGAUUAGAUACCCCUGUAGUCCCUGUCUAUUAUAC
rnacentral:rRNA from 1 species